AGGGCAUCUUCCACAAUGGACGAAAGUCUGAUGGAGCAACGCCGCGUGAGUGAUGAAGGUUUUCGGAUCGUAAAACUCUGUUGUAAGGGAAGAACCAGUACGUCAGGCAAUGGACGUACCUUGACGGUACCUUAUUAGAAAGCCACGGCUAACUACGUGCCAGCAGCCGCGGUAAUACGUAGGUGGCAAGCGUUGUCCGGAAUUAUUGGGCGUAAAGGGUGCGUAGGCGGAUAUUUAAGUCAGAUGUGAAAACCCCGGGCUUAACUUGGGGACUGCAUUUGAAACUGGAUAUCUAGAGUGCAGGAGAGGAAAGCGGAAUUCCUAGUGUAGCGGUGAAAUGCGUAGAGAUUAGGAAGAACACCAGUGGCGAAGGCGGCUUUCUGGACUGUAACUGACGCUGAGGCACGAAAGCGUGGGUAGCAAACA
rnacentral:rRNA from 1 species